GGGGAUUUAGCUCAGUUGUAGAGCGCUUGCCUAGCAAGCGCAAGGCCCUGGGUUCGGUUCCCAGCUCCG
rnacentral:tRNA from 1 species